rnacentral:lncRNA from 1 species
ACUUCCGGGGCGGGGCCACGGAGGCGGGGAGGAGGUAACCUGGCUGCUUUCUUGCAGUCAGCCGAGUUUGGUGUCAGCGACUGGGGUUGCCACGCGAGGCUGCCGGCGAGAAACAAGAGACCCUACUCUGCUCCAGCAGGAUCCAGAGACACGGAAUCCGACUACCUCUCCACGCUCAGUAUCCUCUCUUCUGGGCCAGUUUACGGAAGAGCAGCUUGUAUCCCAGCCGGGGGCGGGAGUGUGGACAGCGAAGCAGUAUGAGCACAAAGAGUUCUAGGCCAACCUCUGCUUCCUACUGGCAACAGGAGACACUAUCUUUAAAAAAACGUGUAUGGAAGAAUCUGUAUACACAAUAGUACCCUGUGUUCCUCUGUCCUUUUACCCCCCACCUUUCUGAUAUUUCCCCGUCCACCCUCCAAAAAAGUUACUCAACAAAUAUACUUUGUGUGUCAUCUUCUCAUUUAAGGUCCCUAUAGAAAGUUUAAGAACGCCUAGUUCUGCCCUUAAGGACGUAGAGGCCUUUCCUGGCAACAAACUAAUAAAUUACAAGAUAAUGCAUUGGUAAAUACUGGAUAAGUACCGAGAUACCUGGGAAUUCUAAAUGAAGGCAUAUCACCUUCAUAGAAGUUAUUUUUAAAUUAAUCUGUAAGGUUGAUGGCAAUGUUAUUUCGAUAAAGAAAGGAGGAAGAAAUAAUUAUCAGCUGACAGAAAAGACUGAGGCUGCAAGCUUGCUUUCUGAUAACUCAAGAUUCAGGCUGGUUAAAGAUUGCUUGCCAGAAGGGAGUGAAUACAUGUAUUGAGACUAAGAAGUAAAUGCUGGAGAAUUGAGAUUGAUCUUAAAAAUAACAAGAAAUUUCUAAGAGAGGACAUUGUAACAUGCGCCUGUCAUCCCAGCAUUUGGAAACUCAAGAGCAGGAGGGUUGUAGCUUAAAGCCAACCUGAGCUAAACAAAAAAACGAAACAAAACAAACUAACUAACUAACUGAAAAAACAGACAAGGAUUACCAGCUGGUCUAUGAGUUCUACUAGUGGUUGGCCUCUUUCCUAAGCUGAGUUCCAUCCCUAGAUCUUCAAGAAAAUAUUUUACAAAAAAAGUCACCAUCUCAAAAGAGAAUGUCUAAAAAACAAUAAGCCUAAGGGCAGCAUAAUAAAAUUUACUUUUGUUUCUUUUAGUUUUUGUUUUUGGUUUUGUUUUUUUGUUUGUGGUUUUUUGUUUUGUUUUAGUUUUUUUGUUUUUGUUUUUGUUUUGAGACUGGAUUUUACUCUGUAGCCAUGGCUAUUAUGAAACUGCUAUGUGUUAAGACCUGUGUCUAGCCACCCAUUUUGUGCUGUUACUAAUAUUAUAAGGAAACUUUCUCAUGCCCGAGUUGAUGGGGCAUUCUGUGUUUUGGUGUUCUUGGAAACCAACCACAAUAUAAGUCAGUUAGAACUGCUUUGUAUAGUUAGCAGCAAUAACCUUGGACUGGAACCAACCACCAGACAGCACUUCUUGCACCUGUGUAUGACCUUUUAUGGUUUUUGCUUUUAUAAGCUGCCCCUGGAAUAGACCCCAACAUAAAAGAGAGGCCUACACCAAUAAAAGAAGCUAUUUGGAAUAAGACUUCCAUUUUGAGUAGAGAUUGAGUAAAGUUUAACUUCCCAAGACGGCCCAGGGAACUGACAUCCUACUUGGCAGAAAGAGACAUGUACAUGGGUAACUAGCAUCCUGGUUGGCAAGUUAAGACGUGAGUGUUGAAGUUAAGCAAGGCAAGUCCUCUAUCACAGCUGAAUACCUCAACCAAUAGGAGCUGGAUAAAUGGACAGCAAAGAUAUGUUGCCAAGGAAAUCCCCUAUCCCUAAAUACUGAUUGGUAAACUAACUUGGCGGGUUUAAAAGCUUAAAAGCUCUGUAGGUGGGUGGGUAGAUGGGUAGGAGAACACCCUCAUAGAAGCAGGGGGAAGAAAAAUGGGAUAAGGGGUUUCCAGAGGGGAAACCUGGAAAGGAGAUAACAUUUGAAAUUUAAAUAAAUAAAAUAUCCAAUUUAAAAAAAAAAUAACAAAGGGGAUGGGGAGAAAGAAAAAAAGGAAGAGCUCUGUAGGAUCUUGGCUCUUCUAAGUCUGGUCUAUGACCCUGAUCAAUCAUUCCUGGGUUGAAUGAUCAAUAAACUAUGCCUGUCUGACUAAAAUCUGUAUUUGUGUAGUUUGUGAGGUGACUCGUGGACUAUAAUACUAUGUAAACCAAACUGGCCUUGAACCUUGGGCAACCCUGCAAUUUCUGGUAUGUACCACAUGUAAGAAAAUUUCACAUUAAAAUGUUUUAUAUUA